rnacentral:rRNA from 1 species
UACGUAGGGUGCGCGCGUUAAUCGGAAUUACUGGGCGUAAAGCGUGCGCAGGCGGUUGUGUAAGACAGGCGUGAAAUCCCCGGGCUCAACCUGGGAAUGGCGCUUGUGACUGCACAGCUGGAGUGCGGCAGAGGGGGAUGGAAUUCCGCGUGUAGCAGUGAAAUGCGUAGAUAUGCGGAGGAACACCGAUGGCGAAGGCAGUCCCCGGGGCCUGCAGUGACGCACAUGCACGAAAGCGUGGGGAGCAAACAGG